rnacentral:rRNA from 1 species
GAGGAGCUUGCUCUUCAAAUCGAGUGGCGAACGGGUGAGUAACGCGUGAGGAACCUGCCUCAAAGAGGGGGACAACAGUUGGAAACGACUGCUAAUACCGCAUAAGCCCACGGCUCGGCAUCGAGCAGAGGGAAAAGGAGCAAUCCGCUUUGAGAUGGCCUCGCGUCCGAUUAGCUAGUUGGUGAGGUAACGGCCCACCAAGGCGACGAUCGGUAGCCGGACUGAGAGGUUGAACGGCCACAUUGGAACUGAGACACGGCCCAGACUCCUACGGGGGGCAGCAGUGGGGAAUAUUGCACAAUGGGGGAAACCCUGAUGCAGCGACGCCGCGUGGAGGAAGAAGGUCUUCGGAUUGUAAACUCCUGUUGUUGAGGAAGAUAAUGACGGUACUCAACAAGGAAGUGACGGCUAACUACGUGCCAGCAGCCGCGGUAAAACGUAGGUCACAAGCGUUGUCCGGAAUUACUGGGUGUAAAGGGAGCGCAGGCGGGAGAACAAGUUGGAAGUGAAAUCCAUGGGCUCAACCCAUGAACUGCUUUCAAAACUGUUUUUCUUGAGUAGUGCAGAGGUAGGCGGAAUUCCCGGUGUAGCGGUGGAAUGCGUAGAUAUCGGGAGGAACACCAGUGGCGAAGGCGGCCUACUGGG